ACCUUCGGGCCUCUUGCCAUCGGAUGUGCCCAGAUGGGAUUAGCUAGUAGGUGGGGUAAAGGCUCACCUAGGCGACGAUCCCUAGCUGGUCUGAGAGGAUGACCAGCCACACUGGAACUGAGACACGGUCCAGACUCCUACGGGAGGCAGCAGUGGGGAAUAUUGCACAAUGGGCGCAAGCCUGAUGCAGCCAUGCCGCGUGUAUGAAGAAGGCCUUCGGGUUGUAAAGUACUUUCAGCGGGGAGGAAGGGAGUAAAGUUAAUACCUUUGCUCAUUGACGUUACCCGCAGAAGAAGCACCGGCUAACUCCGUGCCAGCAGCCGCGGUAAUACGGAGGGUGCAAGCGUUAAUCGGAAUUAC
rnacentral:rRNA from 1 species